AGGAGAUUCCUUGAGCAACCGUAAGCCACAAGAAGACCCGGACCGAGUACGUGGACACUACCAUACAGAACAUGCAAGGACGGAUGUAGAGGGCGUCGGUGCCGGCCUUGAUAAUGCCACCGUGGAGCAAGAGGAGGAGUAUUAUGAGGAUGAGCCGUAUCAGGACGCAACAACAUAUUUUGGUGUUAAUCAGUAGCUUGAGAUCUUAACUUCAGUAGUUUGAUAUUUUGGAAACUUUUGAAAACUUUGUAACUAAGACCCCCAGCUGAGCGGGUCAAAUAUUGGGCUCUCAUGAAUAUACAUGCUUCUUUUGGC